AAAAAUAUUUUUAAACUAAUUAAAACAAAGGAGAAAAGAGAAAAUUCAUGAAAAAUAGAAAAUCAGUGAAAUAAAAAUAAGAUGAAGAAAAAUAAAAGAGAAUUUUAGAAAUUAUUUUGGGAUAUUUUGGAUAAAAAAUGAAAUUACUAUGAAUUUUUAAAGAAAAAGAAAUUUAAAAUUAUAAAAGAAAUAUAAUUAAAAUCAGAAAAAACACGGAGCGUUGGAUCACGCCUCAUUAAUUGACGUGGCAGAUCCAACACUCCAAAU
rnacentral:lncRNA from 1 species